AUUGAACGCUGGCGGCAGGCCUAACACAUGCAAGUCGAGCGAGCGGCGGACGGGUGAGUAAUGUAUGGGGACUGCACGAUAGAGGGGGAUAACUACUGGCAACGGUGGCUAAUACCGCAUACUAUCGGAUAACCCAUAUGGGAUUAGCUGGUAGGUGGGGUAAAGGCUCACCUAGGCGGCGAUCUCCAGCUGGUCUGAGAGGAUGAUCAGCCACACUGUGACUGAGACACGGCCCAUAUUCCGACGGAGGCAGCAGUGGUGAAUUUUGCAGAAUGGGCGCAAGCCUGAUGCAGCCAUGCCGCGUGUAUGAAGAAGGCAUUAGGGUGGUAAAGUACUUUCAGCGGGGAGGCGUUACCCGCAGAAGAAUCACCGGCUAACUCCGUGCCAGCAGACGCGGUAAUAC
rnacentral:rRNA from 1 species